UAGGGUUUUGAUUAUGGCUCAGAUUGAACGCUGGCGGCAGGCUUAACACAUGCAAGUCGAGCGGUAACAGAUCUAGCUUGAUAGAUGCUGACGAGCGGCGGACGGGUGAGUAACGCGUAGGAAACUGCCGAGUAGUGGGGGAUAGCCCAGAGAAAUUUGGAUUAAUACCGCAUACGCCCUACGGGGGAAAGGAGGGGAUCUUCGGACCUUUCGCUAUUCGAUGUGCCUGCGUGAGAUUAGCUUGUUGGUGAGGUAAAGGCUCACCAAGGCGACGAUCUCUAGCUGGUUUGAGAGGAUGAUCAGCCACACUGGGACUGAGACACGGCCCAGACUCCUACGGGAGGCAGCAGUGGGGAAUAUUGCACAAUGGGGGAAACCCUGAUGCAGCCAUGCCGCGUGUGUGAAGAAGGCCUUCGGGUUGUAAAGCACUUUCAGCAGUGAGGAAAGGUUGUAAGUUAAUACCUUGCAGCUAUGACGUUAACUGCAGAAGAAGGACCGGCUAACUCCGUGC
rnacentral:rRNA from 1 species